AUCAAACUAACGGAUGAUAUCACACCACGUGUCGUGCCUUAUCCCUUGAAAAUGCUCAAAACUCAUGGAAGAACUUACUUUACAUGGCUUGGACCUAUACCAACCAUCACCAUAAUGGACCCUGAGCAAAUCAAGGAAGUGUUCAACAAAGUUUAUGAUUUCCAGAA